UACGCCCGUAUAAAAUACAGGAAGUAUUAUGUGAAACCCCUUGGCGGGCGGCGGGCGGCGGGCGGAAGGCAUCACUUUGUCCGGACUCUAAUUCAAAUUGUAUUCAUCCGAUCUUCACCAAACUUGGUCAGCAGUUGCAUCUAGUUGAUAUCUAGGCCAAGUUCGAAUAUGGGUCAUGCCGGGUCAAAAACUAGGUCAUAGGGUCAAUUAGUGCAUUUUCAACGGCGCCACUUUGUCCGGACUCUAAUUCAAAUUGUAUUCAUCCGAUCUUCACCAAACUUGGUCAGCAGUUGCAUCUAGUUGAUAUCUAGGCCAAGUUCGAAUAUGGGUCAUGCCGGGUCAAAAACUAGGUCAUAGGGUCAAUAAGUGCAUUUUCAAAGGGGCCACUUUGUCCGGACUCUAUUUCAAAUUGUAUUCAUCCGAUCUUCACCAAACUUGGUCAGCAGUUGCAUCUAGUUGAUAUAUAGGCCAAGUUCGAAUAUGGGUCAUGCCGGGUCAAAAACUAGGUCAUAGGGUCAAUUAGUGCAUUUUCAACGGCGCCACUUUGUCCGGACUCUAAUUCAAAUUGUAUUCAUCUGAUCUUCACCAAACUUGGUCAGCAGUUGCAUCUAGUUGAUAUCUAGGCCAAGUUCGAAUAUGGGUCAUGCCGGGUCAAAAACUAGGUCAUAGGGUCAAUAAGUGCAUUUUCAAAGGGGCCACUUUGUCCGGACUCUAUUUCAAAUUGUAUUCAUCCGAUCUUCACCAAACUUGGUCAGCAGUUGCAUCUAGUUGAUAUAUAGGCCAAGUUCGAAUAUGGGUCAUGCCGGGUCAAAAACUAGGUCAUAGGGUCAAUUAGUGCAUUUUCAACGGCGCCACUUUGUCCGGACUCUAAUUCAAAUUGUAUUCAUCCGAUCUUCACCAAACUUGGUCAGUAGUUGCAUCUAGUUGAUAUCUAGGUCAAGUCCGAAUAUGGGUCAUGCUGGGUUAAAAACUAGGUCACUGGGUCACUUAGUGCAUUUCAAGGAUUUAGCAUGGUGUCCGCUCUCUAAUUGAAGUAUUUUUCAUCCGAUCUUCACCGAAUUCGGUCAGAAGUUGUGUCUAAAUGAUAUCUAGGUCAAGAACAAAUAUGUGUCUUGGCGGGUCAAAAAAUAGGUCACAAGGUCACUUAAUGAAUUUCAAGCGUUUAGCAUGGUGUCCGCUCUCUACUUGAAGUAGUUUUCAUCUGAUCUUCACUGAAUUUGGUCAGAAGUUGAGUCUAAAUGAUAUCUAGGUCAAGAACAAAUAUGGGUCUUGCUGGGUCAAAAACUAGGUCACUUAAUGCAUUUCAAGCAUUUAGCAUGGUGUCCGCUCUCUAAUUGAAGUAGUUUUCAUCCUGUCUUUACCAAAUUUGGUCAGAAGUUGUGUCUAAUUGAUAUCUAGGUCAAGUUCAAAUAUGUGCUG